UCCCUGGUAGUAUAUCGGUUAGUACACGCGCCUGUCAUCCGAGCAAGGAAUUCCAUGCGCGCGAAAGCUGGGUUCGACUCCCAGCCAGGGAG